AGUUCACAAAUAUUUCUCUUGUGAACAAUUCGGUUUGAGAAUGGAAGCAGUAGGCAAACAUUUCCUUCCUUCUGUGAACUCAGCAUGAGGUGACCAACAGGAGGUGGCGGGCAUGAGGUGACCAAUGGUGGAAUGAACCAAAGUGAUCUACAAAUCCUGCUUGGAGAGGGGACACUCACAAUUCAAGAUACCAAAUGGGCUGAUGCUUUGCAAAAGCAAGGAGGAGCUGAACCUGAUGCAGGCG
rnacentral:lncRNA from 1 species